AAUCGAUACGCUGCAUAACAGACAUUUUAUUGCUUUGUACAGGGAUGGGAGAGGUGGAAGGCUGUUUUAUACGAUAAAAUUAUAUAUGAUCAUACAUGAUAACUUCGAACGAAGGAUCAGCACAGUUACAUUUUUAUUUUUACAAUUUAUGUUGUGCAAAAAGACAAGUACAGAAGGGUAAUUCCACACACACCUAUCAUCACUGCGGUGACUGGAAUUGGCAAACAUUACCUUCAAUUAAACUAUAUAUAGCCCAAUGGAGGACUAAGAGAAAACUAGAUGCACUUGUGUCACUGCACGUUACCCUCGUUUUUUUCUUCUCUCAACAUGAAGAAGUUGACUAUCGCUUUGCUCGUUUUUGUGUAAACGAUGUUGGCAGUUACUCUGGCAGCUCCUGCCUCUUCUGGCCCUGCGGCUGCACCCAAGGAGCUGUUGAAAGGAGCCGAAUCAUAUCACUCGUAUUACACACCCUACUCUCACUAUUAUCGCUACCCCUACUAUCUGCAUCCUUACCGGUACUACCCUUAUUACUACAGCGGAUAAGAUGCCACUUCUUUCUAAAAAUGGCAUUCUCUCAGUUUUUAAUGAAUUCAUCUACCAUUGUUUGAAAUAUAUACAUCAAAUAAGAUAAGCUACCAAAAAAUAUUGGCAUUUAUAGUCACUUCACAAGAAACCGUGAGAGUAUAUAAAUAUUCCAAGAUGCAGACUUGAAAGGUCUAAGUCGAGCUACCCUGUGGUAGACUACAAAUUCCAUAACUUGCUACCAACUCAAGUUAGAUCAUUGCCAAAUAAACGUUUUCUACAAGUACUUAGAUCCUGGUUGAUUGUGAAUCCAUUUUAUUCAGUGGAGGAAUUCAUUACUGCUGAUCACAACACCUUAGUCAAUUUAAUGUGAUUAUUUGUAUAUUUUAAAUAAUACCCAAGUACAGGAUACCACUAAAUUAUCUGAUCUAAUUGUAAAUUUGCUUUGAUUCCAAUGUAACUUAUCUAUUUUAUUUAUUAUUGUCUAUUGUAUUUGUUGUACCUGUGCUAUUUAUUCUAUGUUUCUUCAAUGUGAAUUGUGACAUGGCUAUAUAUAACUUCUAUGUUCAACUGGCCCAAUAUAAACUUGAAACUUGAAACUUGAAAGAUGAACCGUCAGUUAUGUGGUCUAGGAACUUACUCCAAUAUUCAUAACAAUGCAUAGAACUAUCUUCAUUCUAAUAAGUCUACAGUAGGUACUGUUAUAUGAAUAUUAUCUCAAGAAAAAAAAAUUGAACAUAUAAUGAAUUUCUCCAGUCUCAAAAAUCCAAUCUGAAUAAAUUUUGAUUGUACAAUAAACUCAUAAUGAAUAGAA